rnacentral:rRNA from 1 species
CCUACGGGAGGCAGCAGUGGGGAAUAUUGCGCAAUGGGCGAAAGCCUGACGCAGCGACGCCGCGUGAGGGAUGAAGGUCUUCGGAUCGUAAACCUCUGUCAGCAGGGAAGAACGGUCACUGUGCUAAUCAGCAGUGAAUUGACGGUACCUGCAAAGGAAGCACCGGCUAACUCCGUGCCAGCAGCCGCGGUACUACGGAGGGUGCGAGCGUUAAGCGGAAUUACUGGGCGUAAAGCGCUCGUAGGCGGUAUGACAAGUCAAGGGUGAAAUCCCCGCGCUCAACGUGGGAACUGCCUUUGAAACUGGCGAACGUGAGUGUGGGAGAGGAUAGUGGAAUUCCAGGUGUAGGAGUGAAAUCCGUAGAUAUCUGGAGGAACAUCAGUGGCGAAGGCGACUAUCUGGCACAUAACUGACGCUGAGGAGCGAAAGCGUGGGUAGCAAACAGGAUUAGAUACCCGUGUAGUC